rnacentral:rRNA from 1 species
AGCAGUAAGACUGAGUGUUAGGCAAAUCCGGCACUCAUAAGGUCAAGCUGUGAUGGGGAGAGGAAAUUGUUUCCUCGAGUCGUUGAUUUCACACUGCCAAGAAAAGCCUCUAGAUAGAUAACAGGUGCCCGUACCGCAAACCGACACAGGUAGUCAAGAUGAGAAUUCUAAGGUGAGCGAGCGAACUCUCGUUAAGGAACUCGGCAAAAUGCCCCCGUAACUUCGGGAGAAGGGGUGCUCU